CUGCACCAUGCCCACCUCUGUGCCCAGAGCUGCAGCAUCAAGUCACCCAUGGGUGGAAAAUCACAGAGGUGGGGCCUGCCUGGUCCAGAGCCCAGAGAUGGAAACGGUAGGGAGAGAGGGCGCCUGACACUUCCUAGCCUCCAGCAAGCCUGGAGAGGGGCGCAAGGCGUCCUUCUGCAUGUGGUAAAAUGCUUGGACUGAGUCUUGGAUGAUUGUGCCUAGCUCUAUCCUGCGACCAGCAAGCACUUGCUUUUCUAGAGGGAAGGGAAAGAAAGAGAAGGAACAAAGACCUGAGCUCCUCAAAGCCACCAGCUAGCUCAGCCUUCACGGAUUCAGCUCGGUCCUCUUGGCAAACUCUGAGAUGCUCAAGGAGGUCUUUGGAAUACUUCCAACUCUGAACGCUCCCCUCCAGGGAGUCCCCACUGUUCAAAGCCCCCGAGGAAUCUGAGUCACCUGCCCGUAGGCCUGGCUCUUCUGGGGGAGUCUAGAUCUGGUGGCCAGUGGCUACGGAUGAGCAGUGCCCCGUGCCCAGGCCAGGUACCCCUGCUGUCAGCUCCUAUGGCCCCUUUCUGAGCUCUGCUCCAUCCCUGCCUAGCCUGACAGCAGUUAGCAUGGUGGCCUCCCGAAAACACCAGGGAGCUGGAUGGAAGUCACAGGUCCCAGGACUACGAGGCCACUGCGGGGCCGGGAGUGGUGGCUGGGCACAGAGGCCCACUAUCCAAUGUGACAGAGAAGAACAGGCCCAGUUGCAGCCUCAGAAGAUGACUCCUUAGACACAGCUACGCUGCCAGCGACAGGGCCUGCCCAGCCAGCCCAGGCGGUCUGAAUCAGAACUCAAGACCCUCGAGAGCUUCCACGGCCCACGUGGGGCAGGGCACUGCUUAAGGGGGACUCUGGCAGGUCCAGGGAGCCACAGACAUGAAGCAAAACCCACGGCCGGGAGUUUUGCAGAUAUCUGGCCCUUCAGCUCCACCAGGAGGCAAAUUAAGGGAACACGCGUGGAAGGAGCUGAACCAGCCACAUUCGAACACUGUCUCUGAGCGAGCCCAGUGCAGAUAGCUGGGGCUAUGGCGUGACUGGGAAAAGGAAAGGGUUUUCCCAGAGCUGUCCUCAAGGAGCUGGAGUCGCUUGGUGGAGUUUCAGCCUCUGGGUGCCCUGGCUUGCCCUUGGCGAGGUGGUCCUGGAAGUGAAGUGACCAGGACUGGGAAAUGGCAAAGAUCGAAGAGGGGAGGCAGAGACUGGAGAAGCUAAACCAAGCAACAGCCUGAGACUAAGUGCCAAGUGUGUAAAUACAUUCUGGCCAAA
rnacentral:lncRNA from 1 species